GUCACCGGUUUUCAUCAUCUGAAUAAACUCCUUGUAAUUGACUGCUCUACCAUCUCCAUCUCCAUCUCCACACACUUGCUUAAUCAUCUCUUUUUAACCUUGCUUGAGCCCUAAGGAAAAACAUCACAGACUUCAACUCCUCAACUCGAGGAACAACGUCUACCUCCUCUGCACUUUUAAAGAGCUCAACAAAUUCUUAUGGAGGAGGUUACUGUGGCGAUUCAUGGCUCAGAGUCUUCUCC